rnacentral:tRNA from 1 species
GCCUGGGUGGCGAAAUUGGUAGACGCGCCAGACUCAAACUCUGGUAUGGGCNACCAUGUGUGGGUUCGAGUCCCACCCCAGGCACCA